rnacentral:sRNA from 1 species
GUGGCCUGUAUAUCCAGUAUCUGUUAAUGCCCACUAUGACCAACGUAAUGAAAUAGUGCUCCCAGCUGGUAUCCUACAGUAUCCAGUUUUCAAUCCAGAUUAUAGCAGCUCUGUAAUCUAUGGAGC